rnacentral:rRNA from 1 species
AUUGAACGCUAGCGGGAUGCCUUACACAUGCAAGUCGAACGGAGUGGCGAACGGGUAAGUAAUGUAUCGGAACGUGCCCAGUCGCGGGGGAUAACUACGCGAACGCGUAGCUAAUACCACAUCCUAUUGCAGCGGCCGAUACCGGUGUAGCUUGUGGGUGGGGUAACGGCUAACCAAGGCGACGAUCCGUAGCUGGUGUGAGAGGACGACCAGCCACACUGGGACUGAGACACGGCCCAGACUCCUACGGGAGGCAGCAGUGGGGAAUUUUGGACAAUGGGCGAAAGCCUGAUCCAGCCAUCCCGCGUGUGCGAUGAAGGCCUUCGGGUUGUAAAGUACUUUUGGCAGGAAAGCGGUACCUGCAGAAUAAGCACCGGCUAACUACGUGCCAGCAGCCGCGGUAAUAC